AUUGAACGCUGGCGGCAGGCAUAACACCUGCAAGUCGAGCGAGCGGCGGACGGGUGAGUAAUGUAUGGGGACUGCCCGAUAGAGGGGGAUAACUCCUGGCAACGGUGGCUAAUACCGCAUCCUAUCGGAUAACCCAUAUGGUGUUAGCUAGUAGGUGGGGUAAAGGCUCACCUAGGCGACGAUCUCUAGCUGGUCUGAGAGGAUGAUCAGCAACACUGGGACUGAGACACGGCCCAGACUCCUACGGAGGCAGCAGUGGGGAAUAUUGCACAAUGGGAGCAAGCAUGAUGCAGCCAGGCCGCGUGUAUGAAGAAGGCCUUAGGGGUGUAAAGUACUUUCAGCGGGGAGGCGUUACCCGCAGAAGAAGCACCGGCUAACUCCGUGCCAGCAGCCGCGGUAAUAC
rnacentral:rRNA from 1 species